AUUGAACGCUGGCGGCAUGCUUUACACAUGCAAGUCGAACGGUAGAGGGGGCAACCCCUUGAGAGUGGCGAACGGGUGAGUAAUGCAUCGGAACGUGCCCACUCGUGGGGGAUAACGCAGCGCAAGCUGCGCUAAGACCGCAUACGAUCUCUGGAUGAAAGCGGGGGACCGAAACUCCUCGCGUUAUUGGAACGGCCGAUGUCAGAUUAGGUAGUUGGUUGGGUAAAGGCCUACCAAGCCAACGAUCUGUAGCUGGUCUGAGAGGCCGACCAGCCACAAUGGGACUGAGACACGGCCCACACUCCUACGGGAGGCAGCAGUGGGGAAUUUUGGACAAUGGGCGAAAGCCUAAUCCAGCAAUGCCGCGUGCAGGAAGAAGGCCUUCGGGUUGUAAACUGCUUUUGUACGGAACGAAACGGUCUGGGUUAAUACCCUGGGCUAAUGACGGUACCGUAAGAAUAAGCACCGGCUAACUACGUGCCAGCCGCCGCCGUAACAC
rnacentral:rRNA from 1 species